rnacentral:rRNA from 1 species
GAUGAACGCUGGCGGCGUGCCUAAUACAUGCAAGUCGAGCGAACAGACGAGGAGCUUGCUUCUCUGACGUUAGCGGCGGACGGGUGAGUAACACGUGGAUAACCUACCUAUAAGACUGGGAUAACCUCGGGAAACCGGAGCUAAUACCGGAUAAUAUAUUGAACCGCAUGGUUCAAUAGUGAAAGACGGUUUUGCUGUUACUUAUAGAUGGAUCCGCGCCGCAUUAGCUAGUUGGUAAGGUAACGGCUUAACAAGGCAACGAUGCGUAACCGACCUGAGAGGGUGAUCGGCCACACUGGAACUGAGACGCGGUCCAGACUCCUACGAGAGGCAGCAGUAGCAGAUCUUCCCCAAUGGGCGAAGGCCUGACGGAGCCACGCCGCGUGAGUGAUGAAGGUCUUCGGAUCGUGAGACUCUGUUAUUAGGGAAGAACAAAUGUGUAAGUAACUAUGCACAUCUUGACGGUACCAUAUCAGAAAGCCACGGCUAACUACGUG